UUUUACCCAUUUUUAAUCAUGUUCUAUAAGUGUUUUAAAGUGUUUUAAGAUACAAUUACUAUGUUUUGGAGUCUAUUUAGAGCAUUUACAGGUUCAGGGACGUUUAGGAGAAAUAUGGUGAUUUUGGAGUCUUUUGGAGCCUUUGGAGGUACAGAGUUGCACAGACGCGUCAGAUGUUUAGCUAUGGAUGGAGACCUUCCGACCGUUAGAUUGAGC
rnacentral:lncRNA from 1 species